rnacentral:rRNA from 1 species
GUAAUUCCAGCUCCAAUAGCGUAUAUUAAAGUUGUUGCAGUUAAAAAGCUCGUAGUUGAAUUUCGGGGUCAGUAGGUCGGUCGUGCCUACGGUAUGUAACUGGCCUUACUGAUCUCUCCCUCUUGACGAACUGUGAUGUCAUUAAUUUGGGGUUGCAGGGAAUCAGGACUGUUACUUUGAAAAA